ACCAUCACCACAACGAAGGCAAGUACCAGCCAGAAACAGAGAAGCGGCGACCUACACAAUUUGUGCCUACAUCGGAAACUCAUGCUGAACAAGCGACAUGAAACUUCAUAGCAAGGAAACGACGCGCCUAAAUCUUUCUGUGAGGUUAUGGACGCCGUGACCUAACAUGCUCUCACGCCGGAGAGGCGGAUGCACAUGAAGGCUGCUUCUCCCGGCCAGCUGGCUGCCCCGCCUGUUUCUCGGUGCAGCACCAGACACGAUUUCUUCAAACUGAUUCCUGGCUAACUUUGCUGUUCCUUCUUUUUCCGACGUGAUUUUACAUUUUCUAAUAAUAAAACAAAGUAAUACA